AGCAGCCGCGGUAAUUCCAGCUCCAAUAGCGUAUAUUAAAGUUGUUGCAGUUAAAAAGCUCGUAGUUGAAUUUCGGGGUCAGCAAGUUGGUCGUGCCACCGGUAUGCACUGGCUUUGCUGAUUCCUCCUUCUUGUAGAACCGUAAUGCCAUUAAGUCGGUGUUGCGGGGAAACAGGACUGUUACUUUGAAAAAAUUAGAGUGUUUAAAGCAGGCUAAGGCUUGAAUACAUUAGCAUGGAAUAAUGAAAUAGGACGACGAUCCUAUUUUGUUGGUUUCUAGGAUUGACGUAAUGAUUAAUAGGGAUAGUUGGGGGCAUUAGUAUUCAAUUGUCAGAGGUGAAAUUCUUGGAUUUAUUGAAGACUGACUACUGCGAAAGCAUUCGCCAAGGAUGUUUUCAUUAAUCAAGAACGAAAGUUAGGGGAUCGAAGACGAUCAGAUACCGUCGUAGUCUUAACCAUAAACUAUGCCGACUAGGGAUCGGAUGAUGUUAAUUUUAUAAUGACUCA
rnacentral:rRNA from 1 species